rnacentral:rRNA from 1 species
GACGUAGGGCGCGAGCGUUGUCCGGAUUUAUUGGGCGUAAAGAGCUCGUAGGCGGCUUGUCGCGUCGUCCGUGAAAACCAGGGGCUCAACCCCUGGCUUGCGGUCGAUACGGGCAGGCUAGAGUUCGGUAGGGGAGACUGGAAUUCCUGGUGUAGCGGUGAAAUGCGCAGAUAUCAGGAAGAACACCCGUGGCGAAGGCGGCUCUCUGGGACGGUACUGACGCUGAGACGCGAAAGCGUGGGGAGCAAACAGG